UCCCUGGUGGUGCAGUCGUCCAGGCCGGU
rnacentral:sRNA from 1 species